rnacentral:rRNA from 1 species
AGUGAACGCUGGCGGUAGGCCUAACACAUGCAAGUCGAACGGCAGCACAGUAAGAGCUUGCUCUUACGGGUGGCGAGUGGCGGACGGGUGAGGAAUACAUCGGAAUCUACUUUUUCGUGGGGGAUAACGUAGGGAAACUUACGCUAAUACCGCAUACGACCUACGGGUGAAAGCAGGGGAUCUUCGGAACUUGCGCGAUUGAAGGAGCCGAUGUCGGAUUAGCUAGUUGGCGGGGUAAAGGCCCACCAAGGCGACGAUCCGUAGCUGGUCUGAGAGGAUGAUCAGCCACACUGGAACUGAGACACGGUCCAGACUCCUACGGGAGGCAGCAGUGGGGAAUAUUGGACAAUGGGCGCAAGCCUGAUCCAGCCAUACCGCGUGGGUGAAGAAGGCCUUCGGGUUGUAAAGCCCUUUUGUUGGGAAAGAAAAGCAGCAGGUUAAUACCCCGCUGUUCUGACGUUACCCAAAGAAUAAGCACCGGCUAACUUCGUG